rnacentral:rRNA from 1 species
ACGGAGGGUGCUAGCGUUGUUCGGAAUCACUGGGCGUAAAGCGCGUGUAGGCGGUUCGAUAAGUCGGAUGUGAAAGCCCGAAGCUCAACUUCGGAAGUGCAUCCGAAACUGUCGGGCUUGAGUACGGGAGAGGGAAGCGGAAUUCCUGGUGUAGAGGUGAAAUUCGUAGAUAUCAGGAGGAACACCGGUGGCGAAGGCGGCUUCCUGGACCGAUACUGACGCUGAGACGCGAAAGCGUGGGGAGCAAACAG